UACGAAGGGGGCUAGCGUUGUUCGGAUUUACUGGGCGUAAAGCGCGUGUAGGCGGGUCGUUAAGUUGGGGGUGAAAUCCCGAGGCUCAACCUCGGAACUGCCUUCAAAACUGGCGAUCUGGACUCAAGUAGAGGCAAGUGGAAUUGCGAGUGUAGAGGUGAAAUUCGUAGAUAUUCGCAGGAACACCAGUGGCGAAGGCGACUUGCUGGACUUGUUGUGACGCUGAGACGCGAAAGCGUGGGGAGCAAACAGG
rnacentral:rRNA from 1 species